AAAAGGAAGUGAUUCCGGCGGAGGAUGGGCAUGCGGCGCAUUAGCUGGUUGGCGGGGUAACGGCCCACCAAGGCGACGAUGCGUAGGGGUUCUGAGAGGAAGGUCCCCCACACUGGUACUGAGACACGGACCAGACUCCUACGGGAGGCAGCAGUGAGGAAUAUUGGUCAAUGGGCGGGAGCCUGAACCAGCCAAGUCGCGUGAGGGAAGACGGUCCUAUGGAUUGUAAACCUCUUUAGGCGGGGAGCAAUGCCGGGCACGCGUGCCCGGAGGGAGAGUACCCGCAGAAUAAGCAUCGGCUAACUCCGUGCCAGCAGCCGCGGUAAUACGGAGGAUGCGAGCGUUAUCCGGAUUUAUUGGGUUUAAAGGGUGCGUAGGCGGAUUUUUAAGUCAGCGGUAAAAUGUCCGGGCUCAACCCGGGCCGGCCGUUGAAACUGGGGAUCUUGAGUGGGCGAGAAGUAUGCGGAAUGCGUGGUGUAGCGGUGAAAUGCAUAGAUAUCACGCAGAACUCCGAUUGCGAAGGCAGCAUACCGGCGCCCGACUGACGCUGAGGCACGAAAGCGUGGGGAUCGAACAGGAUUAGAUACCCUGGUAGUCCACGCAGUAAACGAUGAAUGCUAGUUGUCCGGUUCUUUGGGACUGGGUGAC
rnacentral:rRNA from 1 species